UCGUCACUUCCACAAACCCUAAUAGAAGCCUUCCUCUGCUUCACUCUUGUUGUUAUUCCUUUCUCUUCCUUCUGCCGCAUAUUUUAAAAUCCUAGAAUGUGUUUCUUAUCUUGUUAAUUUCUGGUUGGACGAAGAUGAUCAUUGCUUCAUAUAUUCUGACACCUCUUGUAUGAGAUGAAUCUUUUCUAAAAAGGUUUCAUCUUUGAGCACAGAAAGCAACUCUCUGAGUCCUACACAACCUGGGUUACCAUUCUUUUCUUUCGUUAUUUUAUUUUAUUUUAUUUUAAAUCCUAUUCAAAUUGUGAUUAUGCGCCUAAUGCAACAAGUCUCUGACUACUCAUUGUUAUGUCAUUGGCCCCAGCGUUAGGCUAUAUUAAUGCAAUGUAACAUGUUAGUUUUAUAGGGUCCUUUAUCUUUAUAGGGUUUUUCGGGGACACGGUAGAUACAUUUCUUUUGGUAUUUGAUAAAAUAUCUGUUAGUUUUAAUCAUUAAAUUGAAUUAAAAAAAGGUUCAGAUUUGUACUUGGGUUUUGAAUUCAUGAUGUUGAGUGAUGAUAAAAAUCAAUCGGAUUCCCACUGAUGUUUAUAUAUGAUUUCACAACCAGCUACUUCUGACAACAUCAAAUUCAUACUCUUGUUUUGUAAUGCUUAGUUUUGAAGAUGUGGAAAUUGUGGUUUUGGUGUGAAACUUCUUUUUAUGAAUUGGUUUCAUUUCCCUUUAUCGUUGAUCUGCUUUAAAUUAUAUUUGAGUUUUGAUGAUGGCCGGUGAUGCUAGAAGAUAUUUGCUACUCUUGAUGGGAAUUACCCAUUUGAUGAUCCUUUUCCACCAAGAUCUCUGAGGCCUUUUCAGUUUUUGUGCUAUAACAUUAAUGCUGAGUUUCAGAAAUGCAUAUCAUAUAGUAAUUCAAAAUUUAAAUUUUCUUUCAUUAAAUUACUGCCGGCAUCUUUAACAUGUUUUACAUGCUGUUUGGCAUUUUACGAUGUAAGUAUAUGAUGCUUCACUAUCUGGUCUAUGUGGAUUUGCUCAGUUCCCAUGUGACUCGUUCCCUUGAAGCUAUAUUGUUUGUGUUGCUUUUUUCAUUUGACUCCCGCAUUCUGCAUCCUGUGUUUGCUGUGGCAGAAUACUGAAGCAACUAGAUCUCUACAAGUCUUUGGAAACAGAGAAUGGUUGCUCAUCAGUGUCUGGAAAUGUCCCUGUUAUUUGCUGGCAGCUGUGACAAGUUUGGAUGAACAAUUAAAGUAGGUGCUGUGUAGUGAUAUGGAAUGCGGCGCUUUUCUGCCAAAUCCCCUUAAAUAUUUAGUGAUCGAUAAUUCUUGUAUGUAAUAACCGACCUUUGUAGUAUUACUGCGCGCUCCCUUGUAAGCAUUGUCAUCCACCAUCAGUUAUUCACCCUUGUUAUCCCUUGUAAGCAUUGUCAUCCAUCAUCAGUUAUUCACGAUUGUUUUAUUCGGUUCACGUUCAAUUUUGCUCAUGUAAAACUAAAUAGUACAAUAUGUCCAGGGAAGUUCAUUUCCGAGAAUGUUGUAAAAUAGUUUAAUUCUUAAAGAAUGGACUUUUAUUACCUCCUUA